GCGAGUGAGAGAGAAAACGAGUGGGAAAGAGAGAGAAAGGGAGAGAGAGAGAGACUAUCACGACCGGACGAAGAGGAUAUAUCGAUCGAUCGCUCGCAAACUCCUGCGAGCGAAGAAGUUCCUCCUUCUCCGUUCGAAGAAGACUUCUUCGUCGGUUCCCUCGGCUUCGAAGGGACGAACGGAUCGGAGAACCUUUCGUCUUCAGGUUCGCGAGGAUUCCGUCCGUUAGCGAGGAUUCGCGCCGUAUUAACCGUGUACGAUCAUCGUAAACCCCUCAUUCCCUCAUUUUACUCCUCCUUCUCCGUUUUUAGAUUUCUUUCUUUCUUGUAUUUCGUACGUGUAUUACCCCCACCCUUAUACUUCGGUCACUAUAAACUAACCAACCCUCCCACCCAUAAAGCGUUCGAGAUUUCGUUCGAAAAAUCGAAAAGAGAGGACGGAAGAGAGUAAUGUGCGACCCGGCGAAAAUCGAUGCUCCACCUCUGAACCUUCUUCGUCUUCGAGGAGCGCGGGAGCGCAAGGAAGACGGAAAUAUCGCGCGUUACUUUCGCGGCUCUCUUCGAAGGAGGAGGAACGUUGUCGUAUCCGUAGCUGUAUCCGUUGCCGUGCGAUACCUCGCCGAAAGCUAGUUCGCCGAACGCCGAAAAAAUCGAGUGAUUUUCUAGGAAAUACAGAAAAACGAAAAAGGAUAUAGGAAUCAAUAAAGCUUGUUGUUUUGGUUAAACGUAUUCAUGUUCUUGCCGGCGGCAUACGGCAAAGGACGUUCUUGUUUUUAAUCGGAACGCACGUUUUUCCACACGCGCGACAGAAAGAGAGAGAGAGAGAGAGAGAGAGAGAAAGAGAACAAGUGAGGAGCAAGAGGAGACAAGAAGAGAAGAAGAGAGGAGAGUUUACUUCCCUUAUCUUCGAUCUCGAUCAUCAACCACGGGAGAAGUGUCAAGUGUAACGGUGAAACGGUAACGGUGCGUUAACGCUCUUAUUUAUUAUUUCGAAGUGAUAAGUGAGAAAAAGAAAGAAAUAAAAAAAAAGAUAGUAGGAACGGGUGAAUAGAUAGGUGGGGAUGGAGGGGAUUGAGAAGGAAAAGAUAAAGUAAGUAAACAACCUUUAGUUUAGCGGAGAGAAAAGUGGAGAGAGAAAGAAGACUUUAGGAGAAUCGUCGAAUGCACCCAAUCAAAUACAGGUUGGCUGAGUUUGAGGAUAACAAUGACGAGGAUGAUUAUGAUGACGACGACGACGACGAUGACGACGAUUAUGAUGAUGAUGAUCAUGAUGAUGAUGAUGAUAGUGAUGACGACGAUGACAAUGAUGAUAAUGGUAACAACAUUGAUAACGAUGACAACGACGAUUAGGAGAACGACAGAAAGAGACACGAACGUUUGAGUAACUAUCAGCGCACGAGUUGGGACGACGCUCUCAACUUCCGAGACGCGUCGCACUGUGUUGUUAUGUGUUGUCAUAGUUAUUUCAUUGAAAAAUUAAUUUCACCGUUUUCGAAACUUGCACCGAUUUCUGUCUGUGAAACACAAAGUCUGAACAACUCCUCUUAAGUUUUGCCGAACCCAAAAAAAAGAAAAAGGAAAAAGAACAAAAAAAAGAAAAAGAUUUAAAAAAAAAAAAAGAGAACAGACUCGAUUAUUUAGAAAACUUACUUUCGAACGUGCUUCGUUUCAAAAUUACGACGAAUAAGAAGACGACGAGGAAGAAAAAAAGAAGAAAUAGGAAACCAAGAAAAAAUACGAAAAAAGCACAAAAAAAAGAGAAGAAACGAAAUUAAAAACAAAAGCAUUGCCUUAAGGAAGAAGGAGAGUAUUACUACCUACACUGUCGAAGGAACAAACGAGAGACAAAGGGGGGAUAAAAAAGGAAACAAAAAAACACUUUAGACGUCUACAAAGUAAAUUGUAAAGAAAUGACUAAAGUAUAUUUUUAACAAGUUUUGAGAAACUUUAGAUUUUAAACGUAAAUUUUAAAAAGCGAAAAAUGAAAAAAAACGAUAAAAUUCUUAAUAAUUAAAAAUGUGAUCUAAAAGUCGUUGCUACCAAGAGAAGCCUUAUGUCCUUGUUUCAAUUAGUUCGGUUCCAAACCUUCGAGCGGGAGACGCGUUACAGCGAGAAAUUCCCGCGCAGGAGAGGAAGACUGGACAAAGCGGAAGAAGCAGAAUAGGACGAGCAAAGCGGAAGAAGAAGCGGAGGAGUGCGAGUGCGGAAGAAGAAGAAGAGCGAA